rnacentral:sRNA from 1 species
UCUAACUCAAAAUUCCGUAAAAUCAGGUGUCAGGUACGCAAACACCGAGGUACAGUAA